rnacentral:sRNA from 1 species
UAGCCGAUGUUCCACAGCAGGGGGCCCA